AACGAACGCUGGCGGCGCGUCUUAAGCAUGCAAGUCGUACGGCAAGAGAGGAGCUUGCUUCUCUCCUAGAGUGGCGGACUGGUGAGGAACACGUGGGUAAUCUACCCUUAAGUUGGGGAUAGCUGCUAGAAAUAGCAGAUAAUACCGAAUACACUCGGUCUUUCAUAAGAGAGAUUGAGGAAAGAGGCUACGGCCUCGCUUGAGGAUGAGCUUGCGUCCCAUUAGCUAGUUGGUGAGGUAAAGGCUCACCAAGGCAACGAUGGGUAUCCGGCCUGAGAGGGUGAUCGGACACAUUGGGACUGAGAUACGGCCCAAACUCCUACGGGAGGCAGCAGCUAAGAAUAUUCCGCAAUGGACGAAAGUCUGACGGAGCGACGCCGCGUGGAUGAAGAAGGCUGAAAAGUUGUAAAAUCCUUUUGUUGAUGAAGAAUAAGGAUAAGAGGGAAUGCUUAUCUGAUGACGGUAAUCAGCGAAUAAGCCCCGCUA
rnacentral:rRNA from 1 species